rnacentral:rRNA from 1 species
UACGGAGGGUGCAAGCGUUAAUCGGAAUUACUGGGCGUAAAGCGCACGUAGGUGGCGACGUAAGUCGGGUGUGAAAGCCCCGGGCUCAACCUGGGAAUUGCAUUCGAGACUGCAUUGCUGGAGUACGGAAGAGGAGGGCGGAAUUCCCGGUGUAGCGGUGAAAUGCGUAGAUAUCGGGAGGAACAUCAGUGGCGAAGGCGGCCCUCUGGUCCAGUACUGACACUCAAGUGCGAAAGCGUGGGGAGCAAACAGG